rnacentral:rRNA from 1 species
UACAUAGGGUGCGAGCGUUGUCCGGAAUUAUUGGGCGUAAAGAGCUUGUAGGCGGUUUGUCGCGUCUGCCGUGAAAAUCCGGGGCUCAACCCCGGACUUGCGGUGGGUACGGGCAGACUAGAGUGUGGUAGGGGAGACUGGAAUUCCUGGUGUAGCGGUGAAAUGCGCAGAUAUCAGGAGGAACACCGAUGGCGAAGGCAGGUCUCUGGGCCACUACUGACGCUGAGAAGCGAAAGCGUGGGGAGCGAACAAG